GAUGAACGCUGGCGGCGUGCCUAAUACAUGCAAGUCGAGCGAACAGACGAGGAGCUUGCUCCUCUGACGUUAGCGGCGGACGGGUGAGUAACACGUGGAUAACCUACCUAUAAGACUGGGAUAACUUCGGGAAACCGGAGCUAAUACCGGAUAAUAUAUUGAACCGCAUGGUUCAAUAGUGAAAGACGGUUUUGCUGUCACUUAUAGAUGGAUCCGCGCCGCAUUAGCUAGUUGGUAAGGUAACGGCUUACCAAGGCAACGAUGCGUAGCCGACCUGAGAGGGUGUUCGGCCACACUGGAGCUGAGACACGGUCCAGGCUCCGACGGGAGGCAGCAGUAGGGAAUCUUCCGCAAUGGGCGAAAGCCUGACGGAGCAACGCCGCGUGAGUGAUGAAGGGCUUCGGAUCGUAAAACGCUGUUAUUAGGGAAGAACAAAUGUGUAAGUAACUAUGCACGUCUUGACGGUACCGAAUCAGAAAGCCACGCCUAACUACGU
rnacentral:rRNA from 1 species